CACUGUGGAUCUCAUGGAGAUGCCGGGAUGAAUAAGCAGGGGCCUGACAACUGAGGAAUGGACAGUCUGAAGACCUCAGCUCAUGUGUGACUCCAGAACGGAUGCAGAUGGUCAAGGAGAAAAGGAAACUCUCAUUCACUGAACAUGAUUCCAUGCCGGACAGUGUGCCAUGGAUCCUUGUCAUGGUGGGAGGCAAGUCUAUUACUCAAGAACGAGGUUAAUGACCUUGCAGGAGUCAGGAAGAAGCAAGAGACACUUCAGGGAGCUCAGAAUACAAAGCCUGAGGAUGAGAAGAGCAUGAUAAGAGAGCCGCACUCAGCUCAAAGGUGGAGACAUCAUGACAAGGUGAUCUCAGGAGCAAACACGGGGAUUCUGCACUCACUAGUACGUCUCAAAAGUGAAUGUCAACUUCCUGAUGUUUACACUCGAGGAGAAUAA
rnacentral:lncRNA from 1 species